rnacentral:rRNA from 1 species
UAGAUGAAUUUGGUGCUUGCACCAAAUGAAACUAGAUACAAGCGAGCGGCGGACGGGUGAGUAACACGUGGGUAACCUGCCCAAGAGACUGGGAUAACACCUGGAAACAGAUGCUAAUACCGGAUAACAACACUAGACGCAUGUCUAGAGUUUAAAAGAUGGUUCUGCUAUCACUCUUGGAUGGACCUGCGGUGCAUUAGCUAGUUGGUAAGGUAACGGCUUACCAAGGCAAUGAUGCAUAGCCGAGUUGAGAGACUGAUCGGCCACAUUGGGACUGAGACACGGCCCAAACCCCUACGGGAGGCAGCAGUAGGGAAUCUUCCACAAUGGACGCAAGUCUGAUGGAGCAACGCCGCGUGAGUGAAGAAGGGUUUCGGCUCGUAAAGCUCUGUUGGUAGUGAAGAAAGAUAGAGGUAGUAACUGGCCUUUAUUUGACGGUAAUUACUUAGAAAGUCACGGCUAACUACGUGCCAGCAGCCGCGGUAAUACGUAGGUGGCAAGCGUUGUCCGGAUUUAUUGGGCGUAAAGCGAGUGCAGGCGGUUCAAUAAGUCUGAUGUGAAAGCCUUCGGCUCAACCGGAGAAUUGCAUCAGAAACUGUUGAACUUGAGUGCAGAAGAGGAGAGUGGAACUCCAUGUGUAGCGGUGGAAUGCGUAGAUAUAUGGAAGAACACCAGUGGCGAAGGCGGCUCUCUGGUCUGCAACUGACG